AACGCACAUUGCGCCCUUUGGUAUUCCGAAGGGCAUGCCUGUUCGAGCGUCAUUAUCACCCCUCAAGCCCCGUGCUUGGUGUUGGACGGCCGGUUGAGCGAUCGACCCCUCCUAAAGACAAUGACGGCGGCCUGUGGUUCCCCCGGUACACUGAGCUUUCUGAGCACGUAUCGGACGAGGGCACCCGGGACCCGGUCCUCUCUCCUCACGGAGAAACUUUCUAUGGUUGACCUCGGAUCAGGUAGGAAUACGCGCUGAACUUAA
rnacentral:misc_RNA from 1 species